GGGCGCGUGGUCCAACGGUAUGACGUUCUGAUCUGGCAGCCAUAUCGAAACCUCUCUGGUGGUGAUGCAAUGUCAUCGCCGCUCGUGGAGGUGGAGAAUGAGCCUCACUCAGGGAGAUGCGGGUUCGAUUCUCGCCGUGCCUA